rnacentral:rRNA from 1 species
UACGGAGGGUGCAAGCGUUGUCCGGAUUUAUUGGGUUUAAAGGGUGCGUAGGUGGCCUUGUAAGUCAGCUUUGAAAGCUGGUCGCUUAACGAUCAGGGGUGGGUUGAUACUGCGGGGCUUGGAUCAGGUGGCGGUUUCUGGAACGGGUCGUGUAGCGGUGAAAUGCAUAGAUAUGACCCAGAACUCCGAUUGCGAAGGCAGGAGGCUACGCCUGGAUUGACACUGAGGCACGAGAGCAUGGGGAGCAAACAGG